rnacentral:rRNA from 1 species
AUGACAAAGGUGUUUGAGGCAUCUGAGAAAGCGUAUCCUUACCUUAGGGAUUACCAUAAUCUGUUAUGGAUGAGGUGCAUGUUCAAUCCUGACAUCAAGUGUGACUACAUAAAUAACAAUCUUGCUGAGUGCUUUAAUUCUUGGGUGCGAGAAAUCAAGGACUUGCCGAUUGUUCAGCUAGCUGAUAAGAUUAGAGAGAUGAUUAUGGACCUAUUUAGAAAGAGGAGAAUGAUUGGAGAGAAAACUCGAGGACUAGGACAUCUCAAGGCUAAAGCAUCAGCUGAUUGGAGUGGAGAAGUGAAAAAUGAUAACAAAGGGGAUGAAAGACAUGUCGUCAAAACACUCACACAUGAGUGUACAUGUCUGCAAUGGCAGCACACAGGCAAGCCUUGUGACCAUGCACUAGCCUUCAUAAAUGUUUUGCAAGCUCGCAACUUUGUGAACAUGGAGGAUUAUGUGCACGAGUACUACUCAGUUAGCAGAUUCAGGGCAGCAUAUGAAGGUGUAAUUGAGCCCCUUACGGACAAGAAUCAGUGGCCACAUGUUGAUACAGGCUUUGUGUUGCGUCCACCAAUUCCAAAAGGCAAGAAAAAAGGUGCUGGAAGAACAAGAAAACAGAGGAUGAAGAGUUGGUGGGAAGGUGGAUCAAGGAAGGGAUCAUUGAACAAAUGCAACAAAUGCGGGGACGUAGGACAUAGAGAAGCCGGCUGUCCUCAAAAUGGAACAAAGAAACGGAAAAGUAUGGGGAAAAAGAAUCCAUCUCCAUGGUUUGAUGUCUCAGUUAGCAAUGUGAUUCCAUCUACACCAACCAAGAGCAAGAAUGUCGCCACUUGUAGCAGUCCUGGAGCUGUGACAAGAAGCCAAGCGGCAUCUCAAGCUAGUCCUGGAGCUGUCACAAGGAGCCAAGCAACAUCUGAAGCUGCUACUCCACCACCAAAGUCUCCAGCAAAAGGAAAGAAGAAGAAAAUGACUCCAAAGAGGAAGAAAUUAAGCGAUCUGUGA